rnacentral:rRNA from 1 species
AUUGAACGCUGGCGGCAGGCCUAACACAUGCAAGUCGAACGAGUGGCGGACGGGUGAUUAAUGUCUGGGAAACUGCCUGAUGUAGGGGGAUAACUACUGGAAACGGUAGCUAAUAACGCAUACCAUCAGAUGUGCCCAGAUGGGAUUAGCUCGUGGGUGGGGUAACGGCUCACCUAGGCGACGAUCCCCAGCUGGUCUGAGAGGAUGACCAGCCACACUGGAAAUGAGACACGGUCCAGACUCCUACGGGAGGCAGCAGUGGGGAAUAUUGCACAAUGGGCGCAAGCCUGAUGCAGCCAUGCCGCGUGUAUGAAGAAGGCCUUCGGGUUGUAAAGUACUUUCAGCGGGGAGGCGUUAACCGCAGAAGAAGCACCGGCUAACUACGUGCCAGCAGCCGCGGUAAUAC